rnacentral:lncRNA from 1 species
AUCCUAUUUACCAUUUCUCGACUCUCAGACUUCUUACAACAAAAAAUUUGAGAUCUAGUUUUGAGAAGAAAAAAAAACCCCGAUUGAUAAUCUUUUUUUUUUUUUUUUGAAAUGGUAAAUUUAUUCUCGUCGAGUAAAUGCAAGACGCAUAAACACUCGCGGAAAAAGCAAAAACAGUUACAAUCGAUGCCACAUAUAUACAGAACACCUCUAAAACAAACACCCUAAACUUCCAAAAUAAUGAGGCCGGAGUAUGCAUACGGACAAUAACCAUCUGCAUACUCAUGCCUCACUAUCCCAAUUGCAAGAAGUCUCAGGUACUCAACAAAAAACAACACAGAACCGCUGCCAAAUCCUAGGCAUCAUGCAUCACACAGUUCACGCCUAACAGCAACAAUACACUACCUUCCCCAUAAUCUUACAAAAUUGGUACUAAUAGAAUACCAAGACACCAAUAAAGCCAAAACAAAGGCUAACUGUGAAAAGGCAACACUACAUGCAUAAAAAACAAUGACAGCAGCACAAGACAUCCACGCGGAGCUCACUGCCAGAAAACUAAAUGGAACUGCCUAAACUCCAACCAACUCCCACAGCUAGAAACCCAAGAUCACUAUCUUUUAAGACAAAACAUUGGAUUCCAACACCAUUCAUAAAAAAGACGAACGGCGUGUGCAUUCUUUUCAACAUCCACCUCCAAGACAAAACCUUGGAUUCCAACACCAUUUAUAAAAAAGACAAGACAGCGUGUGCAUUCUUUCCAACAUCUACCUCCAAGACAACACCUUAAUCUCUACAACCAAUUCCUCCACCUCAAAGUUUAUUCCCUUGAAAAUCAUGUCAUUUCUCGUUUUCCACAAAACCCAAAUAGUUGUGUGCUAAAUUAACCAAAAACCUUUAGUUACCUUUUUAGAUCUUCCCCCUACAUUACAACACUUCCAAUGCACAAUGGGGUUAGAAACCAACAAUUCAACCACAGCAUCAAUUUAACCCGCACCACAUCACAAUGUAAAAAAAAUGUAAAGCCGAUUCUUCCUUCCUAUUACACAUCACACACAACCUAGACGCUUCCGGUGAUAAAACAUUUAUUAAAGCAAGAUUAACUCUAGUUGGGAUAUGAUCAAGAAGAACCCUCCAUCCAAACGCUACCACUUUGAUGGAGCCGGACUAUUCCACAUAUUUUCAAACACCCCUUUCUCCACUACUCCCCAAAUAUAUUCACACAACACAAAUCCCUCCAACUUCAAGUAAGCCAAUUUCAUCAAAUAACAACCAUUCUCUUCUAGAUUCCAUCUCCACUUAUCCUCCUCGUUAAACCACCUCAUACCCUCCAAAUCCUCCAAAAGGCUAGUAAGCAACUCUUCCUCCCACACAAAGAGUCUUCUUCUCCAAAUGAAAUUCCAAUUCAAACCCUCCUCCGAAACCGCUCCUAUCUCCCCCACCAUUGCCUCCUUUUGACUUGAGAUCGAAAAAAAGUCUAUUUUUUUAGCAAAGCUCCCACCUCCACGCCAAUUAACUUUCCAAAAAUUCGUCUUCAAACCAUUCCUCACCUUGCGCAAAAUCUCACCAUUAAACCAUCCUAGGCUACCAAAAUCAUCUAACUUUACUACGUAUUUCCACCAAACCGAAAUGAACCUCGACCAAGAUGUAACACCACCUUCCAACACGCCUACAUGAGCCAUAUUUUUCCUCAAGCACAUCCUUCCACAAUGCAUUUUCCCCAUCUAGUAACCUCCAUCUCCAUUUAGCCAAUAAACACACAUUCAUUACCUGCACAUCUUUAAUCCCAAUACCUCAAUUUUUCUUUUGUUGGCACACCGACUUCCACUUCACCUAACUAAUUUUCUCCCCCCUCCCACUCGAUAAUCCUGUGAAAGUGGUUCACAUCAUAUUCUAAAUCAACAAAUAUAAGCCUUUAUAUCAAAAGAAAUCAACGAUUAAGAUUUGAUGUUAACAAAUCGAUUGACACCUAGUAUAAACGGAUCAUGACUCAAGAUAUACACACAUCCUACUUCUUUAAAGCACUUUCUAAUGUGUCACAUCAACAUAUAAAAGUUACAAUAUCAUUUUAAAUUGUUUUUGUCUCAUUCCAUUUCAAAUACAUAAGUAUGAGACGAAUAUAGACACCAAAAGCAAUCCAAACACACUUAUUAUUUGAUCCUCAGCCCUCACACUCCAAAAGCAAACAUCAGCAUAUCAAUACAUUUAUUAUUUAUUUAUCACACUUCAAACCCUUUAAUGUACAUACCACCAACUCUUUUAAAACACUCUCCUAUGAAGCCAUGAUACGAUGCGACACAAAUACGAUUAUUUAUUUUUUUUUUUAAAUUUAAGAUACGAUCCGGUUGAGAUACUUGAAUAAAAAAUUAAAUUUAAACUAAAUAUUAAAACUCAAUAAAAAUAUGGACUAAAAUUCAAAAGAAAAAAAUUUGCGCAAAACCUAGACCAAACAGACAUAAAAAAACGAGAAGGCACAACAAUUAAAUUGCCUUCACACAACAAUCAUCAAUAGCAGCGUUCUAAAACAAACAAAGAGACACAAAACAAACGAUGGACAACAAUAUAAAUAUAAAUAUAAAUAUAAAUAUAAGUAUAAGUAGUAUUGAUAAUAAUGAAAACGACAAUGAAUCAAUUACAUAUAUGAUAUAUCCUAAAUAGAGAACACCAUACUUGGUCAAUUACAUAUAUACCAAAUAUAAUAGAAACAUCAGGUAGCUCGCGCAUAUCGAUAUCCCACCGCCUAUCCCUAGUGUAUCCCCGUGUAUUUUAAAAGCAUCGGAUAAUUUUUUUUUUUUAAAAUAAUAUUUAAUUUUCAGAUACGCUUCUAAUACGUAUCAGAAUGUAUGUAAGAUACAUAUCGAAUAUGGUGCAUCAUCCAUUUUGAGGUAUAUGUUCAAAAAGUUUCUCAUGUAUCUGAACUUUUCAAAUCAUGCACACAAAAGUCACAAUAUUAUAAUGCUAUUUUUCUUGUUGCAGUUUUUAACAUUCAACAUCACUCAAGACAACACACAUUAAAACAAAAUAUUUUUUUAUUUUUUUCAAACUCAUUUGAUUUUGGGUACAGCAAUAGCGGUUGAAUAAAGACACUGGAGCCGGUCCAUACACACUUUUUCAUUAUUUGAUUCUCACACUCCAAACAAAUAUCAAAAUAUCAAACAAUCAUCAAUGUUAUUUUACUAUAAAUUUAAGACUAAAAUAUGGUUUUAGUCCCUGCAAAUAUACCUUGUUUUGAUUUUAGUCUCUGUAAAAUAAAAAAUUUGUUUUUUGUCCCUGCAAAAUUUUUUGUUUUUGAAAAUAGUCUCUGACCCCACUUUUGUGAUGAUUUGCAUACGUGACACAUUAUAACUGAACCAAUUUUAUAGUUUUUGGUCCCUGCAAAAUAUUUUGUUUUUAAAAAAGAUCCCUGCAAAAUUUUUUGUUUUUGAAAAUAGUCCCUGAGGGACUAUUUUGCAGGGACCAAAAACAAUUUUUUUGUUUUACAGAGAAUAAAACCAAAACGAGACAUAUUUGCAGGGACUAAAACCAUAUUUUAGCCUAAAUUUAAUGACGGGAGGUUGACGCUUCAAAACAAUUUUGCAUACACAUCUCAAUCAAAACAUUUUGAAUCGCUGCAAAACGGACAGAUCCGGUGAACUUUAGGCGGCUUCAUAUACAUAAAAGACAAACAAAUGAUAUGAUGUAACAGGUACGUUGCAUGACAAAUUUCUUCUCUAUGAUUGUAAUGCUACAAAUUCAAUUGAUAUUCCGACAGCAAAUUAUUUUCAUUAGGAAAUAUAUAUACAUUGGUUGUUUUCCGGACAGAUACAUGGAAUUUCAUCGAAUAGAUUAAAUUAUAGAUAGUGCAAAUAACAAAAGGAAAAAUAUUGCUCUAGUGACAUCAUUUUGGUUGGUUUUUCAAUAGGCUCCAGUGACAUCAUUUUAGCCACUUAUUUUUUUAGAAGCAAUCAUUUAAGCCCUGUUUUAAAAAUAAAAAAAAAACUUAUUUGCGGUUUAUAGCACAUGCGCUUAUCAUGAUAAGUGAUUAUCUAUAAGCUUACAUAAUCUGUUUCUAUGGCAAAAGAUAAAAUAAAAUUGUUUUCGUAUAUGCUAUAAGUUGUUUCCAUAAACUAUUUUGGAGAACUUACAAAAAAAAGCUUAUGAAAAAUGUCAUAAGCUAUUUUUAUAAGUUGUCCAAAACAGUAUCACAAAACUUAUGCCGGUAGAUAAGCUCAAGCCCUAGUGGGAUAACUUGUACAACUUUUCAUGAUUUGUUUCACGAAGGAAAAUCAAAUGGAACCGUAAAAACAGUUUGUAAAAACCGAACAGUUCAUGGUUUGUCCUGAACCAAACUUGUUUUAAGAUUCAGUGCACCAGGUUAUGCGCUUUUUGGACCAAUAUUGUUUUGAAUGGAGGCCAUGGUGCUGUCAUAGGCCGCAAUGGCGUGUUUAUUGGGGUUUUCUGCCAUAUUCCACACAACACUGUUUUGAAUAAAUAGGUUCUAUCUUUAUAGAACAGAGAUGUUACCUUUACGAACCGAACUGUAUCUUGACUAACCGAGAUGCCCCCAUAGGCUUGGUUUGUGUGUGUAGUACGCGGUAACAAUUUCCAGAUUUCAAUUUGAGUAUUAUGUUUUUCCAGAAUUGUGGGCAUACAGGAGUAAAGAGCAACAUCGGCAAAUUUAUUGGAUAGCCGUCAACUUAUUCUAGUCACUUAGUUGUUUGCUUCAUUAUGUGAAUACUUGUUCUCAAUUUAAAGCACUUAUGAAAGUUUAAAGUUUCUCUUUCAAAUCAUCAAAUACUGAGAGACUGAUUUAAUACAACUUUAUUGAAAGAACUAUAGGAAGAGUCUAUACAGAAAGAUGAUUUUUAUUUCUAUGAACAUAUAAUACAAGGAUAGAGUCUUUUAUUACAAUAUUAAUCAUGAAGACUCACUUAACUAUAAUACUCUAUUUCCGGUGACACUCUUCAAAGACCUCAUCAUGCAUGCUUUAUUUUCUUCACAUAAAUAUAGCAUAACAUGCAAGUUCAAGAUCACACGCAUUCAAUUCGCUUCUUAGCAACAAGACAGAGAGGAUUUUUCUUGUGUUGAAUAAGUCCGGCUUGACCAUGAGUGUCAAUGUCUUCCCUCUUAGCUCCUUCAGGCAUUUCCCAGUCAAAUGAAUAGAGAAGAUUAGAAAGUACAAGGUCGAUGGUAGCAAUAGCCAUGUUUAAGCCGGGGCAAAUUCUUCGCCCAGAACCAAACGGAAUCAGCUCAAAAUCUUGUCCUUUUAAAUCUAUAUCACUUCCUAUGAAUCUCUCUGGAUAAAACUCUUCUGGAUCCUUCCAUACUUCUGGGUCUCUAUGGAUCGCCAAUGCAUUCACGUACACCAAUGUCUUGUCUGGAAUGUCGUACCCUGCAAUGUUGCAAUUUGUCAUUGUUUCUCUUGGUAAAAGUAUAGGCAAAAUUGGGUACAAUCUCAUCGAUUCUUUUAUAACGGCCUUGAAAUAUGGAAGCUUUUCGACAUCUUCUUCCUCUAUAAAACCUUUCCCUGCACACACUUUCCGAAUCUCUUCUUGUACUUUCUGCAUCGCUCUUGGAUUCUUCAUUAGCGCAGUCAUAGCCCAGACUACCGCUGCCGCAAUUGUUUCUGUCACAGCAAACGACAUAUUCUGCAAUAUUGGACAAGUUUCAAUAUGUUUCAUGAACUAUUCUGCAAAGAUAAAAUGUUUUGAAAUUGAACCAAGAUGAAGGCUUAAUAAGAGUGAAGAAUAAAAAUAAUUAAAAAAAAACAUUAACCAUGAUCAAGGGCUUGAUGUGUUCUGCAGUGAGAUCCAUUGAGCAGUAAGGAUCAUUCUUCAGUUCAAUCAAGGCAUCAAUAACAUCAUCCUCAUGUGGAGGCAACUUCUUCCUUUCUGGAUCAAGAUGUUCAUCAACAAUACUUUGAUAAAGUUCAUCUGAAACCUUGAACGUUUUCUCAAGGCGACUCGUCUUUCCGGUGAGCUUAUCAACAAUCCCUCCAACAAAGGGCAAAUAAUCCGCGUAAAAGAACGAAAUUAGCAAAUCCUGAACUUCUUUAUGCAGACCUUGAAACAUGCUACGCUCAAUUCCUUCCCCUUCAUACCUUCUGCCGAAGGCGGUCUUACAAACUAAAGUACUUGUAAGACAAGUAAGAAGAUCCUGCAUGUUCAUAACUUUGUUGGAAGAAGCAUUUUCUGAUAUCUUCUUGAUCAUUCGUGUCACCUCAUCUUUUCUAACUGAGUAAAACAUUGAGACUCUUUUGACACUAAGAAAAUGAAUAAAGGAAAGUUUUUUUGUGUGUCUCCAAUAUUCUCUAUAUGGUGCAAAUAUUUGAUCUAAUCCAUUAUAUGAUAUUUUCAUAUGGCUGAUUAACGCGGGUCGGUUACAGAAUUCGAUAUCAUGUGUUUUCAUUACUUCUUUGGCCAUUUUUGCUGAUGAAACAACGACUGUUUGCUUUGAACCAAGUUUAAGGGAGAUUAUAGGGCCAUAUUUCUUAGAGAGUUCAUAGAAAUUUAAACCAAGAACUGAACUAUCAAGUUGGUGUAAGUUUCCAAUGAAAGGAAGGCCUUUAGGACCUGGUGGAAGAGUUGUUGAUUUCUUAGAUGUUUUGUGUUUUUUGAACAAGAAGAAUAGCAAGAGAGCAAAGGGUAAAAGAAUAAGGGGUGACAUGUUUUUGUUCAUGAAUUAGGGAUAGCUAUUCAGCUAUUGUAAUAUAUAGAUAGACACCACCAACUCUUUUUAAGGUACUUCACUUAUAGUUUUGGAUAAGAACGUUAUGUCAUAAUUUGAUCCAUGUAGCUGACUGUACUUAAGGGAUAAGGUUUGAUUGUUUUUGUCACAUUGCAUUUUGAAUACAUCAGUAUAGGACGAAUAUAGACACGAAAAGCAAACAUCAGCCGAUUAAUACUAUUUAUUAUUACCCUUAAAAUGACUAAACCACUUUUUGAAUACAUAAGUAUGGGACGAAUAUAGACACGAAAAGAAAACAUCAGUCAGUUAAUACUAUUUAUUAUUACCCUUGAAAUGAGUAAACCACUUUUUGAAUACAUCAGUAUGAGACGAAUGUAGACACGAAAAGCAAACAUCAUCCAGUUAAUAUUAGUUAUUAUUACCCUUAAAAUGACUAAACCACUUUUUGAAUACAUCAGUAUGGGACGAAUAUAGACACAAAAAGAAAACAUCAGCCAGUUAAUACUAUUUAUUAUUACCCUUGAAAUGAGUAAACCACUUUUUGAAUACAUCAGUAUGGGACGAAUAUAGACAUGAAAAACAAACAUCAGCAAGUUAAUAUUAUUUAUUAUUAUUUAUUAUUACCCUUGAAAUGACUAAACCACUUUUUGAAUACAUCAGUAUGAGACGAAUAUAGACACGAAAAGAAAACAUCAGCCAAUUAAUACUAUUUAUUAUUAUUUAUUAUUACCCUUGAAAUAAGUAAACCACUUUUUGAAUACAUCAGUAUGGGACGAAUAUAAACACGAAAAGAAAACAUCAGCCAGUUAAUACUAUUUAUUAUUAUCCUUGAAAUGACUAAACCACUUUUUGAAUACAUCAGUAUGGGACGAAUGUAAACACGAAAAGCAAACAUCAGCAAGUUAAUAAUUAUUAUUUAUUAUUUCAAGUAAACCACUUUUUGAAUACAUCAGUAUGGGACGAAUAUAGACACAAACAACAAACAUCAGCCAGUCAAUACUAUUUAUUACUCCAUCCGUUUCAAAAUGAGUGUCAUUUUAACCAAAAAAAAAUUGUAUUAAAAUGAUUGUCACUUUCAGUUUCCAAUGCAAUAAUAACAAUUGUUUCAAAAAUUGUUGUACAAAUAUCAUUUCUCUUUUUAUUAUUUGAUUCUCACACUCUAAACUAAACAAAUAUCGAGAUGUCAAUUUAUCCAAAAAUAAAUAAAUAUCGACAUGUCAAUGCUAUUUUAUUAUUUAUUAUCACACCGUAAAUCUCUGAAAACAAUAAGCUUGCACAAAACUGCAUGUCUUCGUGGAUUCAACAUUUCUUUUAAGAUGUAAAAUUAUGUAAAAGACAACGAGUUAAAAUUAUAUCAAUAUAUAUAUAUAUAUAUAUAUAUAUAUAUAUAUGGGGUUUGCUAACUUAGAACAACAAAAAAACGUGAAGGUCCAAGUUAGCAAAAAUGCACUUUUUCAUUUGAACAAAAAAACAAAUAUCCAAAUUGGUAAAUAUCCCUCAAGCUAUUUGUUAUAAAAUAAAAGUGGGUCUAAGUUAGCAAGCAAAUUGGUGUAAGUUAACAAACAUGUUUUAAUGAAAAUUACUAAAGUAACCCUCAAACUAUUUGUAAUAAAAUAAAAGUGGGUCUAAGUUAGCAAAUUGGUGCAAGUUAACAAAUAAGUUUUAAUAUAAAUUACUAAAAGAUUAUCAACUUUUUUGUUAUAACUUGCUAAAAGACACUUUAAUAAAAAUUAGUUGGUGUCUUUUAACAAAUGCCUAUAAGAUAACUUGCUAAAAUACACCUUCAUAAAGGGUGUCUUCUAUAUAUAUAUAUAUACCAAAAAAAGUUGAUUUUAUAUCAUUAUACAUUUCACCAAAUGAUAUACAUUUCAACUAACGAUAUAUAUUUAAUCUAAUCCGCCCCAAGAUCUAUGCUAACAUCAUCAAGAUUAUAGCUUUUAUCAUUUUCAAUCUUCACACCAUCUUCAACCUUCUUCUCAGCAUCAAGCUUCUUUACAAGAUCAACCAUCUGUCUGAUAUAUCUAUCAGGCCAUCUUUUUGCAUCAUCUAGAGAGUGUUGUCACCAUAGCGGGCAAAUGGGAGGAAUUGGAAAACCAUCAUUCAAAUAUAUUAUCAUAAAAUGGUUGUCAUUCACAUGUGUCAGACACAUCAAUCGACCUCUAUGUGAUGGUGCACCACAUAGAGGGAAAUAGGUUUCCAAUCACCCUUUCGCAAUAGACAGUAGAACCACCACAUGUUUGUAUCUCUGUACAAUGAGGAAACUCAUAUCCGGCAUGGUCAUCCAUUUAUCCGGUGGUGCAUGACCAAUAUCGGAAUAAGUUAGAGCGCCUAAGACCUGUUUAUAUCGCCUAUCUACACAAAUCAUCUGUCGAUAGCACGCAUUUUCUUCAUCGAUAAACUCUUUGUGAAGUUGGUAACAGAUCAACUGGCGAGCAUCAACAUACAUGUCACGUAGGUCCGCAACGGCACAAACCCCACAAUGGCCAUCACAACUACAUCCACCUCCUUUUCAAUAAAUUCAUGCAUCCAAUGUGGGAUUUGUUCUUUGUGUGGUAUGUGGACUUUAACCAGAAUUGGCUUAGGAGGAUUAUAAGACAUGUUGCUUUUCCGUGCACUUUCUCUACUUGUCCCUGUUGAAUUUGUAUGUGAAGCACGUGUUUGUUGAUCCUGGGAGUCAACAAUCUCCUAGAGCAAAGGCGAUCAUUUUGUUGACUAAAUGAUAUGUUUAUUUUUCUUUGGAGCUCCUUUAGGGGGUGACUUUUUUUGGCGGUGGACGCAUAGAGGUCAUCUCCUGCAAAGAAAACUGUCGAAAUUGUUCUUUGAUGCGCACCUUCAUGUUGUAAUCAACGUCCUUGAUUCGGGCCUACAAUGCGUACAAAAAUCUGUCAGGUGGAAUGUUGUAGAAAUCUAAGAAAAUAUGCAUUAUGUUUUGUCCAGUGACUAUUCGGAUUAUAUAAUCUGAAACAUCUCAACCCCCCCCCCCCCCCCCCAGAUCAUGCAAACCAAGUACGUCUGCAUGGUGCUUAAAUGAAAAUUUUUCGGAUUAUAUAAUCCAAAAUUCAUUUAAUAGCUUUUCAUAUUAUAUAAUCUGAAUUCAACCAGUACAUAAAUAGAUCACCCUCUUACUCGAACUUCAACCUCAUCUAGUGAGUGUGGAUGUCAUCCAAACAAAUGGGGGUGUUGUUCUUGAUCUUCAUUGCAAUCGUACACGCACAUGGAAAUCUGUAAGCGAUGAAAAUUAAACAACCACACUUGGAUUUAUCCGUACUACAACCAACUACUCGAUCAACCUCGAUUGCGAGAUAAUGCAAAGCGUUCCUUGGUAUGUUUCGAAUCAACCUAGCCACAACAACUUUCCUUUGAACCUAUGUUCAAGCAUGAUCAUGCUCGUCUAGAAGGAAGCAUGUAUUUGAGUAUGUUGUGACUCUAGCAUGUUGUGAGUGGAGUUCCAUUUUGUACUUAAUUCACCCAUACUACUAUAGUAAGAUACUUUUUCAACGGUCUGUGUGCAUAUUCUGCUCUGUUUGUCGUAGUAUUUCCCAUAUGCUUGACUUUAGUGAACCAAAAAUUCACAAUCUAUUCCUUCACCGAACCCAAAAUUAUAUUUUCAACAUAUUUCAAAAACUUAGGAAAUUUGUGGCAUACAACUUUGAACCGGUUGCAAUUAUCAACAUAUGCUUGCUCUGUAUCAAAAUUCACGAUAUCCUCCCAUGCAACCAUAACCGUUUUCACCACCUCACUUAACUUGAUCUCUUUCCCAUCCUUGCCUUUUAAAUCCUUAACUUUGCAAUCCGUCUUACAUUUUGCUCUAACAUUUUUUUAAUGUGAUACUCACACAAGAGAGCAGUAGCUUCAAGGAAAACAAUAUACACAACAUUCAUCAAAGCAUGUUAAUAAUUAGAGACAGCUACAUUGGGUGAAAUAUCUUUGGAAUGCAACAGUUCACGACACCUGUCAUGAGACCAAGUAACAUUAUCUUCCUUCUCAUACAUCAUAUAACCAAAUCCAAUAGAGAACAUGUACUCGAUAUAAGUGUUACUAACAAACUCAAGUAACGGAAGACGAUACUUGUUGGUCUUAUAAAUCGAACCCAUCACAAGCACCGUAGGCAACAUGUUAAACAACUUGAUACCAUUUGGAUGUGCUUGGAAAAUAUCACUUACAUCAUCGGAAUCAUGAUACUUCCUACGUGAUACAUGUACUCCUUCUCAACCAAUUAUUUCAAAAGAUGUUGCAUGCCUGUUCUCGUACCCCUAAUAGACGUCCGACGAUUUUAUGACCUUUCAACACCUCUUCCAUGUCAUGGUUGUGUCUACCGUCACCAACUUGGAGGCUCCAAUCACCAACAAUUAACAAAUAACCUCUCAACCGAAACAAACACUCACAUUUAACUGAACCAGAUAUUUUGUGUCUCUUCAACUUCUUGUACUCCGUGUAUGAACCUCCUCUUUUACAUAUCACAAUAACAAAUGCAUUUAUCCCAUUUCCACCUCUAUCUGAUUUACCAAUAACGGUUGAAAAACCUAGCUUCCUCUCGAAGCCACUUCAAAAAAUCGUUAUGAAUAGCAAACUUUUGUUUGAUGGUAAAAUUUUCUUGAUGAUUAAUAGAAACAACAACAUCUUGAGGUACAACAAUCGAAGGAGCAUUCUCUGCUUUCACAUUGCCGGAAGGAAUGUCAACUUUCGGUGGAGGUACCUCGGGUUUGCCGUUUUCAGAAUCAUCUAUAACUUCAAGAUCAACAACCGACAGCACAUUAGGUGGUUCAAUAUUAGGUGGCUAUUCAUUGGACGCAUCAACAGAAACAUCCAUUACUGAAACAGUGCGAAAGCAUGGUCAGAAAAUGCAAGCACUUUAUGUACUGGUGUUAUUCUUUAUUUAUCACACUCUAAAUCUUUAAGAUAUACACAUCACUGACUUCUUUAAGGCACUUUAUAAUAUGUGUCAUCGCCAUUAAAGUUACAAUAUUAUUUUAAAUUGUUUUUGUCUCAUUUCAUUUUGAAUACAUCAGUAUGAGACGAAUAUAGACACAAAAACAAACAUCAGCAAGUCAAUACUAUUUAUUAUCUUUUGUAAAAAAAAAAAGAAAAAAAAUACUAUAUAUUAUCUAUUUAUCACACUUUAAAUGAGUAAACUACCAAUUUUGUCUUAAUCUUUAUAAUUUUGAAAAACGUUUGACAAUAUUUCUAAAUAGUCUAUGUCUUUGCCAAAAGUUUCUCCAUUAAACGCAUGUUUCUAUGUUUUUUUCGCAUGACGAGAGACUUAAUUGAGAAAACUUUUGACAAAGGCAUAGACUAUUUUAAAAUAUUAAUAGAGUCGGAGGAUAAUUUGAGAAUCACUUACAAAGACAUGACCGAUUUGAUUAUUUACUCCACUUCAAAUCCUUUAAUGUAGACACUACCAACUCUUUUAAGAGCAUCCAUAAUGGUAGUAACUAAUAGGGACUCCUUAAAUGAGCUUCACAUGUACAAAUUAUUUAUUUAUAAUUUUUUAAUAAAAGUAUCUAUUAAGGACUCAAUGACUCUAAAGACAAUACACUAAUAUGGAUUUCAAUAAAAAAUACUUAAAUAUGUCCGACUAACUUUACAUCAUUAUACAAAAGUAAUUUAUUUAUUACAUUAUCAAUUACCUCAUAAAAUAUUUCUUUUAAAAGUGGAACCAACUUAUAUAUAUUUUAUCAUUUUUUUAAACUUUGGACCAGUUAGUUUUUCAGAAGAGAGAAUCCUUAUAUAAUUGUAUGUUAUUUAAUAGAUACUUUUUUUUUUCCUUUAAUAGAAUGUCCUUGACAGAGAAUGAUCCUUAUUAAGCAAGGACCUCAUAUUAAUGAUGCUCUAAGACACUUUCUCUUGUAUGUCAACUUUUCAAAUCUAUCAACACAAAAGUUACAAUAUCAUAAUAUCAUAAAGUUAACAUUCAACAUCGCUCAAGAGAACACACAUUAAAAGAAAAUAUUUUUUAAUUUUUUUUCAACUCAUUUCAUUUUGGGUAUAGUAAUAGCGGUUGAAUAAAGACACUAGAGCCAGUCCAAUCACACUUUUUUAUUAUUUGAUUCUCACACUCCAAACAAAUAUCAACAUAUCAAUGUUAUUUUAUUAUAAGUUUAAUAAUGGUAGGUUGACGGUUUAAAACAAUUUUGCAUACACAUCGCAAUCAAAACAUUUCAAAUUGCAGCAAAACGGACAGAUCCAGGGAACUUCAGGUGGCUGCAUGUACAUAAAAGACAAACAAAUGAUAUGAUGUAACAGGUACGUUGCAUGACAAAUUUCUUCUCUAUGAUUGUAAUGCUACAAAUUCAAUUGAUAUUCCGACAGCAAAUUAUUUUCAUUAGGAAAUAUAUAUACAUUGGUUGUUUUCCGGACAGAUACAUGGAAUUUCAUCGAAUAGAUUAAAUUAUAGAUAGUGCAAAUAACAAAAGGAAAAAUAUUGCUCUAGUGACAUCAUUUUGGUUGGUUUUUCAAUAGGCUCCAGUGACAUCAUUUUAGCCACUUAUUUUUUUAGAAGCAAUCAUUUAAGCCUGUUUUAAAAAUAAAAAUAAAAACUUAUUUGUGGUUUAUAGCACAUGCGCUUAUCAUGAUAAGUGAUUAUCUAUAAGCUUACAUAAUCUGUUUCUAUGGCAAAAGAUAAAAUAAAAUUGUUUUCGUAUAUGCUAUAAGUUGUUUCCAUAAACUAUUUUGGAGAACUUACAAAAAAAAGCUUAUGAAAAAUGUCAUAAGCUAUUUUUAUAAGUUGUCCAAAACAGUAUCACAAAACUUAUGCCGGUAGAUAAGCUCAAGCCCUAAUGGGAUAACUUGUACAACUUUUCAUGAUUUGUUUCAAGAAGGAAAAUCAAACGGAACCGUAAAAACAGUUUGUAAAAACCAAGAGUUCAUGGUUUGUCAUGAACCAAACUUGUUUUAAGAUUCAGUGCACCAGGUUAUGCGCUUUUUGGACCAAUAUUGUUUUGAAUGGAGGCCAUGGUGCUGUCAUAGGCCGCAAUGGCGUGUUUAUUGGGGUUUUCUGCCAUAUUCCACACAACACUGUUUUGAAUAAAUAGGUUCUAUCUUUAUAGAACAGAGAUGUUACCUUUACGAACCGAACUGUAUCUUGACUAACCGAGAUGCCCCCAUAGGCUUGGUUUGUGUGUGUAGUACGCGGUAACAAUUUCCAGAUUUCAAUUUGAGUAUUAUGUUUUUCCAGAAUUGUGGGCAUACAGGAGUAAAGAGCAACAUCGGCAAAUUUAUUGGAUAGCCGUCAACUUAUUCUAGUCACUUAGUUGUUUGCUUCAUUAUGUGAAUACUUGUUCUCAAUUUAAAGCACUUAUGAAAGUUUAAAGUUUCUCUUUCAAAUCAUCAAAUACUGAGAGACUGAUUUAAUACAACUUUAUUGAAAGAACUAUAGGAAGAGUCUAUACAGAAAGAUGAUUUUUAUUUCUAUGAACAUAUAAUACAAGGAUAGAGUCUUUUAUUACAAUAUUAAUCAUGAAGACUCACUUAACUAUAAUACUCUAUUUCCGGUGACACUCUUCAAAGACCUCAUCAUGCAUGCUUUAUUUUCUUCACAUAAAUAUAGCAUAACAUGCAAGUUCAAGAUCACACGCAUUCAAUUCGCUUCUUAGCAACAAGACAGAGAGGAUUUUUCUUGUGUUGAAUAAGUCCGGCUUGACCAUGAGUGUCAAUGUCUUCCCUCUUAGCUCCUUCAGGCAUUUCCCAGUCAAAUGAACAGAGAAGAUUAGAAAGUACAAGGUCGAUGGUAGCAAUAGCCAUGUUUAAGCCGGGGCAAAUUCUUCGCCCAGAUCACCCUCUUACUCCAACCUCAACCUCAUCUAGUGAGUGUGGAUGUCAUCCAAACAAAUGGGGGUGUUGUCUUGAUCUUCAUUGCAAUCAUAAACGCACAUGGAAAUUUGUAAGCGAUGAAAAUUAAACAACGACACUUGGAUUUAUCCGUACUACAACCAACUACUCGAUCAACCUCGAUUGCAAGAUAAUGCAAAGCGUUCCUUGAUAUGUUUCGAAUCAACCUAGCCACAUCAACUUUCCUUUGAACCUAUGUUCAAGCAUGAUCAUGCUCGUCCGGAAGGAAGAAUGUAUUUGAGUAUGUUGUGACUCUAGCAUGUUGUGAAUGGAGUUCCAUUUUGUACUUAAUUCACCCAUACUACUAUAGUAAGAUACUUUUUUAACCGUCUGUGUGCAUAUUCUGCUCUGUUUGUUGUAGUAUUCCCCAUAUGUUUGACUUUAUUGAACCAAAACGUCACAACUUAUUCCUUCACCGAACCCAAAAUUUUAUUUUCAACAUAUUUCACAAACUUAGGAAAUUUGUGGCAUACAACUUUGAACCGGUUGCAAUUAUCAACAUAUGCUUGCUCUGUAUCAGAAUUCACGAUAUCCUCCCAUGCAACCAUAACCGUCUUCACCACCUCACUUGACUUGAUCUCUUUCCUAUCCUUGCCUUUUAAAUCCUUAACUUUGCAAUCUGUCUUACAUUUUGCUCUAACAUUUUUUUCAAUGUGAUGCUCACACAAGAGAGCAGUAGCUUCAAGGAAAACAAUAUACACAACAUUCAUCAAAGCAUUUUACUGAUUAGUGACAACUACUUUGGGUGAAAUAUCUUUGGAAUGCAACAGUUCACAACACCUGUCAUAAGACCAAGUAACAUUAUCUUCCUUCUCAUACAUCAUAUAACCAAAUCCACUAGAGAACAUGUACUCGGUAGAAGUGUUACCAACAAACUCAAGUAACGGAAGACGAUACUUGUUGGUCUUAUAAAUGGAACCCAUCACAAGCACCGUAGGCAACGUGUUAAACAACUUGAUACCAUGCAUUUAGGAAAAUAUCACUUACAUCAUCGGAAUCAUGAUAAUUCCUACGUGAUACAUGUACUCCUUCUCAACCAAUAAUUUCAAAAGAUGUUGCAUGUCUGUUCUCGUACCCCUAAUGGACUGCCUAUACCUGUGACAAGCAUUAUAAAUAUGCUUGAUAUUUGUUGAAGUUUUACUAUUCCUUUUCCUUAAGUUGGUAAGAAUUUUCCUCAGAUAAAUAUUUGAGUCCGUCAACUCAUGAAGGUAUAGGCUUUCAUUUGGGUUUAGACGUCCGACAAUUUUAUGACCUUUCAACACCUCUUCCAUGUCAUGGUUGUGUCUACCGUCACCAACUUGGAGGCUCCAAUCACCAACAAUCAACAAAUAACCUCUCAACCGAAACAAACACUCACAUUUAACCGAACCAGAUAUUUUGUGCCUCGUCAACUUCUUGUACUCCGUGUAUGGACCUCCUCUUUCACAUAUGACAAUAACACUCACAUUUAACCGAAUCAUCUAUAACUUCAAGGUCAACAACCGACAACACAUUAGGUGGUUCAAUAUUAGGUGGCAACUCAUUGGAGGCAUCAACAGAAACAUCCAUUACUGAAACAGUGCAAAAGCAUGGUCAGAAAAUGCAGUCACUUUAUGCACUGGUGUUGUUCUUGAAGUAGGGAUAGCUAUUCAGCUAUUGAAAUCUCAUGGUAUGUGUGUUAUGUAUAUCCGCUAAUAUAUAGACAACACCAACUAUUAGAAAAGAUUUAGAGAUUAAAGAGUUGAAUAAUUUGGUUUUGGAUAGAACAUUAUCCAUAAUUUAAUCUGUGUAGCUGACUAUACUUAAUGGGAUAGACCUGAUUAUUGUUGGUGUUGCUUUGAUUUUGGAUAGAACAUUAUCCAUAAUUUAAUCUAUGUAGCUGACUGUACUUAAUGAGAUAGACUUGAUUAUUGUUGUUGUUGCGUCAGUACUAUUUUAUUCCUUAUUUAUCACACUCUAAAUCAUUAAGAUAUACACACCACUGACUUCUUUAAGACACUUUAUAAUAUGUGUCAUCGCCAUUAAAGUUACAAUAUUAUUUUAAAUUGUUUUUGUCUCAUUCCAUUUUGAACACAUCAGUAUGGGAUGAAUAUAGACACAAAAGCAAACAUAAACAAGUCAAUAUUAUUUAUUAUCUUUUGUCAACAAAAAAAAAAAUACUAUUUAUUAUCUAUUUAUCACACUUUUUUUUGAAGAAACUAUCUAUUUAUCACACUUUAAAUGAGUAAACUACCAAUUUUGUCUUAAUCUUUAUAAUUUUUAAAUGAGUAAAUCAUCAAUUUUGUCUUGGUCUUUAUAAGUGAUUCACUAAUUAGUCUCUGACUCUACUAAUAUUUCAAAAUAGUCCUCGUCUUUGUCAAAAGUUUCUCAAUUAAGUUCCUCGUAUGUGAAAAAAAUAAUAGAAAUAUGAGUCUAAUUGAAAAACAUUUGACAAUAUUUCUAAAUAGUCUAUGUCUUUGUCAAAAGUUUCUCCAUUAAACCCAUAUUUCUAUGUUUUUUUCGCAUGACGAGAGACUUAAUUGAGAAAACUUUUGACAAAAGCAGAGACUAUUUUAAAAUAUUAGUAGAGUCGGGGGCUAAUUUGAGAAUCACUUACAAAGACAGGACCGAUUUGAUUAUUUACUCCACUUCAAAUCCUUUAAUGUAGACACCACCAACUCUUUUAAGAGCAUCCACAAUGGUAGUAACUAAUAGGGACUCCUUAAACGAGCUUCACAUGUACACAUUAUUUAUUUAUAAUUUUUUAAUAAAAGUAUCUAUUAAAGAUUCAAUGACUCUAAAGACAAUACACUAAUAUGGAUUACAAAUAAUGUAACAGGUACGUUGCAUGACAAAUUUCUUCUCCAUGAUUGUAAUGCUACAAAUUCAAUUGAUAUUCCGAAAGCAAGUUCUUUUCAUUAGGAAAUAUAUAUACAUUGGUUGUUUUCCGGACAGAUACAUGGAAUUUCAUCGAAUAGAUUAAAUUAUAGAUAGUGCAAAUAACAAAAGGAAAAAUAUUGCUCUAGUGACAUCAUUUUGGUUGGGUUUUCAAUAGGCUCCAGUGACAUCCAUUUUAUCCAUAAUUUUUUUUAGAAGACAUCAUUUAAGCCCUGUUUGAAUAAACCAUUUAUUCGCAGCUUAUAGCACAAGUGCUUAUCAUGAUAAAUGAUUAUCUAUAAGCUUACAUAAGCUGUUUCUAUGGCAAAAGAUAAAAUUAAAUUGUUUUGGUAUAUGCUAUAAGUUGUUUCCGUAAACUAUUUUGGAGAACUUGCAACUUUUCAUUGGCUGCAAUGGUGUGUUUAUUGGAGUUUUCUGCCAUAUUCCACCAUCCGUCAUCGACAACACUGUUUUGACUAAACAGGUUCUACAUUUAUAGAACAGAGAUGUUACCUUUGCAAACCGAACUGUUUUCUUGACUAACCAAGUUGCGAACCGAACUGUUUUGUGUGUAGUACAUGGUAACAAUUUCCAAAAUUCAAUUUGAGUAGUAUGUUUUUGCAGAAUUGCAGGCAUACAGGCGUAAAGAACAACAUCGGCGAAUUAUUGGAUAGCCGUCGACUUAUUCUAGUCACUUAGUUGUUUGCUUCAUAAUGUGAAUAUUUGUUCUCAAUUUAAAGCACUUAUGAAAGUUUACAGUUUCUCUUUCAAAUCAUCAAAUACUGAGAAGCUGAUUUAAUACAACUUUAUUGAAAGAAGGAAAAUGUAUAGAGAUACAAGAAAGAAAAACAACUGCUGAAAUCAAAGGGAACUACUUUGAAAAAUAACAUUCAAAAUCAACACAUCAUUUGUAGAACAUGGUCAUCGACUGAGUGAAAAACUAUUUAUAGGAUAAAACCUUAAUGUUCUUCACCAUUUCUCGACUCUCAGACUUCUUACAACAUGACAUAUCAGAUCAAAAUCAUCCUAUUUACCACUCCCCUGAACUACAAAGGAAUAGUUAAUACAGCAAGAUGAAUUUUAUUUCUUUGAACAUAUAAUACCACAUUAGAGUCUUUUAUUAUAAUAUUGAAUAUGAAGACUCACUUAACUAUAACAUGCAAUUUCAAGAUCACACGCAUUCAAUUCGCUUCUUAGCAACAAGACAGAGAGGAUUUUUCUUGUGUUGAAUAAGUCCGGCUUGACCAUGAGUGUCAAUGUCUUCCCUCUUAGCUCCUUCAGGCAUUUCCCAAUCAAAUGAAUAGAGAAGAUUAGAAAGUACAAGGUCGAUGGUAGCAAUAGCCAUGUUUAAGCCGGGGCAAAUUCUUCGCCCAGAACCAAACGGAAUCAGCUCAAAAUCUUGUCCUUUUAAAUCUAUAUCACUUCCUAUGAAUCUCUCUGGAUAAAACUCUUCUGGAUCCUUCCAUACUUCUGGGUCUCUAUGGAUCGCCAAUGCAUUCACGUACACCAAUGUCUUGUCUGGAAUGUCGUACCCUGCAAUGUUGCAAUUUGUCAUUGUUUCUCUUG